rnacentral:rRNA from 1 species
CAGCACCUCAAGUGGUCAGGAUGAUUAUUGGGCCUAAAGCAUCCGUAGCCGGCUCUGUAGGUUUUCGGUUAAAUCUGUAUGCUCAACAUACAGGCUGCCGGGAAUACUGCAGAGCUAGGGAGUGGGAGAGGUAGACGGUACUCGGUAGGAAGGGGUAAAAUCCUUUGAUCUAUUGAUGACCACCUGUGGCGAAGGCGGUCUACCAGAACACGUCCGACGGUGAGGGAUGAAAGCUGGGGGAGCAAACCGGAUUAGAUACCCGAGUAGUCC